CAAGUCGAACGCGGUUAGUAGCAAUACUAACUGAGUGGCGAACGGGUGAGUAACACGUGGGUGACCUACCUUCGAGUGGGGGAUAACGUCCCGAAAGGGACGCUAAUACCGCAUGACAUCCUCUUUUUGAACAGAGAGAGAUCAAAGCCGGGGAUCGUAAGACCCGGCGCUUGAUGAGGGGCUCGCGUCUGAUUAGCUAGUUGGUGGGGUAAUGGCUCACCAAGGCGACGAUCAGUAUCCGGCCUGAGAGGGCGGACGGACACACUGGGACUGAGACACGGCCCAGACUCCUACGGGAGGCAGCAGUGGGGAAUUGUUCACAAUGGGCGCAAGCCUGAUGACGCAACGCCGCGUGGAGGAUGAAGGUCUUCGGAUUGUAAACUCCUGUUGCUCGGGAAGAAUGGCUCCGACCUAAUACGUCGGAGUGUGACGGUACCGGGUGAGGAAGCCCCGGCUAACUCUGUGCCAGCAGCCGCGGUAAUACAGAGGGGGCAAGCGUUGUUCGGAAUUACUGGGCGUAAAGGGCGCGUAGGCGGCCUGUUAAGUCGAACGUGAAAUCCCCGGGCUCAACCCGGGAACUGCGUCCGAUACUGGCAGGCUUGAAUCCGGGAGAGGGAUGUGGAAUUCCAGGUGUAGCGGUGAAAUGCGUAGAUAUCUGGAGGAACACCGGUGGCGAAGGCGGCAUCCUGGACCGGUAUUGACGCUGAGGCGCGAAAGCCAGGGGAGCAAAACGGGAUUAGAUACCCCGGUAGUCCUGGCCCUAAACGAUGAAUGCUUGGUGUGGCGGGUAUCGAUCCCCUUGCCGUGCCCAAAGCUAAACGCAUUAAGCAUUCCGCCUGGGGGAGUACGGUC
rnacentral:rRNA from 1 species